rnacentral:miRNA from 1 species
UUCGAAUCCUGAGGUCGCCUCCCC